GUCAGACCUCUCUACCAUGAUCCGACCGUCUUGGGUGGCCCUACAUGGCAUGGCUUAGUUUCAUUGAGUUAGAGAGGACUGUGGUCCUGUGAUCAGAUUGGCUAGUUUCCUGUGAUUAUGGCUUUAGUGUGUCUGCCUUAAUCCUAGCCCCUCACAAUGUGGUGGUAUUAGGAGUUAGGGCCCUGGAGUCCUCAGGAAUGGGAUGAGUGCCCUUUCAAAAGAGACCCCAGAGAGCUCCCUAGCCCUGUCCUUACCUUGGGAGGAGGAUACAAGGAGAAUCUGGCAGUGUGCAGUCUGGAAGAGGACCCUCAUUACAACCUGACCACACUGGCACCCUCAUCUCAGCGUUUCAGCCUUCAGAAUUGUUAAAAGUAAAUUUAUGUUGUUUAUUUUCCAGUCAAACUAUGGUUUCCUGUGAUAGCAGCCCAGGCGGACCUAAACAGAUGCUGACUUUACCAGAGUGCCUGGUGGGAGCAGCGGCUGCUGCCACGUUGGUCCUACCUGUUGUCUGCUACACGAGGAGGUGGGGUGUUGCUCCAGGACCUUGCUCCGGAAAGG